UGCUUAACACAUGCAAGUCGAACGGUACAGGUCUAGCUUGCUAGAUGCUGACGAGUGGCGACGGGUGAGUAACGCUGGGAAUCUGCCUUCAGUGGGGGAUAGCCCGGAGAAAUCCGGAUUAAUACCGCACACGGCCCUACGGGGGAAANCCGGGGAUCUUCGGACCUGGCGCUAGUAGAUGAGCCCGCGUGAGAUUAGCUUGUUGGUGGGGUAAUGGCCUACCAAGGCAACGAUCUCUAGCUGGUCUGAGAGGACGAUCAGCCACACUGGGACUGAGACACGGCCCAGACUCCUACGGGAGGCAGCAGUGGGGAAUAUUGGACAAUGGGCGAAAGCCUGAUCCAGCAAUGCCGCGUGUGUGAAGAAGGCCUGAGGGUUGUAAAGCACUUUCAAUCGUGAAGAAAAGUUGCAGGCUAAUACCCUGUGACCUUGACGUUAACGAUACAAGAAGCACCGGCUAACUCCGUG
rnacentral:rRNA from 1 species